GCUGGCGGCACGCUAACACAUGCAAAGUCGAGCGGUAACAGAGCUAGUAGCAAUACUAGCUGCUGACGACCGGCGGACGGGUGAGGAACACGUAGGAACGGCCCUCAAGCGGGGGACAACCAAGGGAAACUUUGGCUAAUACCGCAUAAUCUCGAGAGAGAAAAGCUGCCGCAAGGUGGCACUUGAGGAGGGGCCUGCGUCCGAUUAGUUAGUUGGUGAGGUAAAGGCUCACCAAGACGAUGAUCGGUAACUGGUCUGAGAGGACGACCAGUCACACUGGGACUGAGACACGGCCCAGACUCCUACGGGAGGCAGCAGUGGGGAAUAUUGGACAAUGGGGGCAACCCUGAUCCAGCGAUGCCGCGUGAGUGAAGAAGGCCUUCGGGUCGUAAAGCUCUUUAGGUUGGGAAGAAGGUAUUGGGGGGAUAAUCCUCGAUACUUGACGGUACCGACAGAAUAAGCACCGGCAAACUCUGUGCCAGCAGCCGCGGUAAUACAGAGGGUGCGAGCGUUAAUCGGAGUUACUGGGCGUAAAGGGCGCGUAGGCGGUAAGAUGUGUGUGAUGUGAAAGCCCCGGGCUUAACCUGGGAAGUGCAUCGCAAACUAUCUAACUGGAGUAUAUGAGAGGGUGGCGGAAUUUCCGGUGUAGCGGUGAAAUGCGUAGAGAUCGGAAGGAACGUCAAUGGCGAAGGCAGCCACCUGGCAUAAUACUGACGCUGAGGCGCGAAAGCGUGGGGAGCGAACAGGAUUAGAUACCCUGGUAGUCCACGCUGUAAACGAUGAGGACUAAAGGUUGGUAGGGGAACCUAUCAGUCUUGAAGCUAACGCGAUAAGUCUUCCGCCUGGGAAGUACGGCCGCAAGGUUGAAACUCAAAUGAAUUGACGGGGGCCCGCACAAGCGGUGGAGCAUGUGGUUUAAUUCGAUGCAACGCGAAGAACCUUACCUACCCUUGACAUCCUGCGAAUCCCGAUGAGAGUUGGGAGUGCCGAAAGGAACGCAGAGACAGGUGC
rnacentral:rRNA from 1 species